rnacentral:tRNA from 1 species
GCCGCUAAAGAGCGGCGGUUUCGUAAACCGCAGGCCGGGGGUUCGAAACCCUCCAGUGGCU